GUUUACGUGGAAGCCAUGUGACAUUCUCGUGAACGCAAUGGCAAGGCGUGUUGUGAUCACCGGCUUGGGCUUGAUUACGCCGUUGGGUGUUGGAACGAAGUUUGUAUGGAAGCGAAUUAUCAAUGGAGAGAGCGGAAUUACUUCAACUUUUGGCAAAGGUUACCAGCAGAUUCCUUCUCGUGUUGCUGGAUUUAUUCCUCGAGGAAAUGGAGUUGGCAUGUUCGAUGAAGACUCUGUAGUGACCAAGUCG